GACGAACGCUGGCGGCGUGCCUAACACAUGCAAGUCGAACGGAACUGUUUUGAAAGAUUUCUUCGGAAUGAAUUUGAUUUAGUUUAGUGGCGGACGGGUGAGUAACGCGUGAGUAACCUGCCUUCAAGAGGGGGAUAACAUUCUGAAAAGAAUGCUAAUACCGCAUGACAUAUCGGAACCACAUGGUUUUGAUAUCAAAGAUUUUAUCGCUUGAAGAUGGACUCGCGUCCGAUUAGUUAGUUGGUGAGGUAACGGCUCACCAAGACCGCGAUCGGUAGCCGGACUGAGAGGUUGAACGGCCACAUUGGGACUGAGACACGGCCCAGACUCCUACGGGAGGCAGCAGUGGGGGAUAUUGCGCAAUGGGGGCAACCCUGACGCAGCAACGCCGCGUGAAGGAUAAAGGUUUUCGGAUUGUAAACUUCUUUUAU
rnacentral:rRNA from 1 species